UGACAAAUAUGUGCCUCGCCUAUUAAAACUCUACUGGGCAAAGAAGGGAACAUUUGGUCCAGCGAUGGAAGACCUCCUGGAUAAGCUUGAUGAAGAGACAAGUGACAUUGCAUCUCAACGAAAGACAACAGCUCUGAGAGGACUACCCAUCUUCAUCCGUGAGGACACGUCAAAGUUUUUCUUGAAGUGUUUGCAGACUGACCCUGCGGAUGCUGUGGUCCGAGGUGUGUCUGUUGGCAUUCUGACUGUCUAUGAAGAUGA